rnacentral:rRNA from 1 species
GAUUAAGCCAUGCAUGCCUAAGUACACACUUUGGUAAAGUGAAACCGCGAAUGGCUCAUUAAAUCAGCUACAAUUUAUUAGAUCGUACACUGUUACUUGGAUAACUGUGGGAAUUCUAGAGCUAAUACAUGCCGAGAGUCUCUGCCACCCGCUGGCAGAGCGCAGUUAUUAGACCAAAACCAGCCGUGCUCUUCGGGGCAUGUCCCUUUUGGUGACUCUGGAUAACCUUCAGUUGAUCGCAUGGCCUUGUGCCGGCGACGUAUCUUUCAAGUGUCUGCCCUAUCAACUUUCGAUGGUACGUUAUAUGCCUACCAUGGUGAUAACGGGUAACGGGGAAUCAGGGUUCGGUUCCGGAGAGGGAGCCUGAGAAAUGGCUACCACAUCCAAGGAUGGCAGCAGGCGCGCAAAUUACCCACUCCCAGUUCGGGGAGGUAGUGACGAAAAAUAACAAUGCGGGACUCUAAGAGGCCCCGCAAUUGGAAUGAGUACACCUUAAAUCGUUUAACGAGUAUCAAUUGGAGGGCAAGUCUGGUGCCAGCAGCCGCGGUAAUUCCAGCUCCAAUAGCGUAUAUUAAAGUUGCUGCAGUUAAAAAGCUCGUAGUUGGAUCUGGGGCUCGGGUUCGCUGUCGACCGUGUAAACGGUGAUGGUGAAACCCAGCUCUGCUUGCCGUUGUCUGCUGUAGUGCUCUUCACUGAACGCUACAGUAGCACGGCACGUUUACUUUGAAAAAAUUAGAGUGCUCAAAGCAGGCUUGUCGCCUGAAUAGUGUUGCAUGGAAUAAUGGAAUAGGACCUCGGUUCUAUUUUGUUGGUUUUCGGAGCUUGAGGUAAUGAUUAAGAGGGACGGACGGGGGCAUUCGUAUUGCGGUGUUAGAGGUGAAAUUCUUGGAUCGCCGCAAGACGGACUACUGCGAAAGCAUUUGCCAAG